rnacentral:lncRNA from 1 species
GUGCUUGUAAAUAUUAUAAUUUCAAUUGAAGUUAUGAAGAAAACUUACCAUUGAAUAAUUUAAAAAAUACUAAUUAAUUCAAAGUCACUGGACCAUGUUGUUGGGCACAAGGCCACAAAAUAGUCAUCAAAUUGAUAUGUUAUAAUAGUAUUGCAUCUUCAUACAAAAUAUCAUUGAUCUAUCGCAUGUAGUUCUUAUCAAACUGACUUAUGUAGAAAACUUAACAAUUGACUAGAUAUGUCUGAACUUCAUGAAUGGCCUGUCUUAAAAAGUUGAAAAAUCUGCAAUUUCAACAUCAUUUGUGGACUCAAACAUGAUGGUGGUCUCGCAUAUCAAAAAUCUGGUCAAAUCUUAAGGCGUGUAGAAAUAUAAUCUAUAUAACUGUGAUUUUCAACAAUAUUCAAAGUCUUUAACUCUUAAUUUUCAUCAAAACUUGGCAGAGUGGAACAAAACUUUAACUUGAUCUGUUACUCAUCACGUUAAGUAACAUACCAAAAAUCACCCCAAUAUCUAAAGGAGUUAAGAAAAAAAGUAGGUAUAACUGUAAUUUUCAACAAUUUAUAAAUUCCAAAGCCUGUAAUUUCAGCAAAAAUAAGUAAAGCUUAAAAAAAUUUAAACUUGAUUUGUUACACACGAUGGUUAAGUUACCUAAUAACAAGAAUGUGUCCAAAGUACAUGGAUGCCCCACUCGCACUAUCAUUUUCCAUGUUCAAUGGACCGUGAAAAUGGGUAAAAAUCCAAUAUGGCAUUAAAAUUAGAAAGAUC